rnacentral:rRNA from 1 species
UACGGGGGGGCAAGCGUUGUUCGGAAUUACUGGGCGUAAAGGGCUUGUAGGUGGCCAACUAAGUCAGACGUGAAAUCCCUCGGCUUAACCGGGGAACUGCGUCUGAUACUGGAUGGCUAGAGUGUGGGAGAGGGAUGCGGAAUUCCAGGUGUAGGCGGUGAAAUGCGUAGAUAUCUGGAGGAACACCGGUGGCGAAGGCGGCAUCCUGGACCACGACUGACACUGAAGAGCGAAAGCCAGGGGAGCAAACGGGA